rnacentral:lncRNA from 1 species
GCUGCGCCAGAAGAUGGAGGAGACAAAGCUGCUCAUCGUACUGUUUGUGAUCUUCUUGUUGUUGUUCAUCGUCGCGGUUACUCUCGGAAUCUCCGGCUGACCACUUACGGAGUAGUACUUGUUCCUACUACUUGCAUUGCAUUGCAUGGCACGCAACUGGGAUUUUAGGACAAUUUUAUAUCGUGGCAUGGCAGCAGUGACUUGUUUCGUGACUUUCGUGGGAGUGGUGGUAUGCUAGUAGAACUUCUGGGAUUGCUGUACUGUAAUAAUGUCCAAUCAUGUGUGUACGUGGGGGUUGUUUCCUCGACCGUUGGGAAACACGUACUGGCUUAGUUGUGUGGAGAUGCUUACACUAACAUUUCACUAUGUUGCACUCCUUCGGACAGAGCCACACUGUAGAGAAAACAUUGUCGUAUGCCAAGUGUAAAUUAUCAGGGGUCGGCAUAUAGGUUGUAUGUCGAGUGAAUGAAAUAAAUAAAUAAACUCGGCAACCAGUGUACGCUCGGCAACCAAAGAUGUGCGCCGAGUACUACCCAAAAAACACAAAAGAUCUCAGCAGAAAAAAGAACAACUCCACAAGGAAUGAGUUGUUGAAAAAGACGAGAACACAUGUCCUUUCCGGGCUUUUUUGACAGCUCUGUGAUGUCAUAUAUUGACAUCGAUGUUUGUUGACUGUCCACUAACAAACACUUUAGCUUACAUUUUUAGCAUUUCCAUUUUUAAAUGCGAUUACAUGAUAGCCGAGUGCCCUAUAUUUGACACUAGGCUUGUACUUUAUAUUUCUUCUUUUGCUCUUUGAUUUUUAAAGUGUAAAAUAUUUUUGAUGCUUUCCCUUUCAAUUGUGUUUCUUUAUUCUAUGUUCUUUCUCUUCAAGUCGUUAAUAUUUACCGCCCUUUCUUCUCAUCUGUUUCCACUCGCUCUCUUUGCCGCCCAUUUUUCAACAAUGUUUCUUUACUAUGUUUUUUCAUUGAAACUUUUGUUUGUGUUUUUAUUGCAUUUUAUUUCUUUUCCCUCUCUUACUCAUUCUCUCUCCUAAGUUUUCACUGUUGUUUGUAUCCCCUUAUUUUCUGCUCUCUCUUGUUACCACCACUUCAAAGUAAUGGUGUUGCCUUUGUACUCUUCACCCCACCCUAGCGUAUGUUUAGGACCACAUGCGAAAGGAGAAGUGAUUCCAACCCUUAGGGCAACUCCACGCUUAGGGCAACUUCAAUGCGGGGACGCAUUCCGUUCGCUUGCGUCCAUUUCUGACCUCGUGGACAGAAAAGGCAGGCCAAUGCGGCGACACAUUUUGUGUUUAUGCCCGUUUCCUGUCAGCGCGAACCCAUUUCCUGCCCAUAUUUGGUCUGGGUUUGUGUCACCAUGGACGGGAGACAGGCGUGUCGUGUGUCUGCCGUGGGCCCACAUGGUAGCCGCCCAGCGACCAACUCCUGGUCCUUUUAAAUGUCACGCGCGGAGGGGGGGGGGGAGGGGGCAUCCAUGCCCACAUCUUUCCCCCACUCUGCUCCCCCGCCACCAACAGUAAAACCCUACGCCACCGACCACCACCGGUGCAAUGUCGUGGAAGUUUGUCCUCGGGAAGCAUGGCCAUGAGGCCGGCUCCUCCUUGGGGCAGCGUCAUGUUGCACCAUUCACCUUGAUGCCACCGGGAGCUUCGCCGCCGUGGCAGGACCGCAUGGUACGUCCAUGUCGAGACGUGCCAAAGGUACUAGUAGGUGGCCAUCCCAGUGCCGUGGACCGAUGUGCACCUGCGGAACGGCUGGGACUUGAACCUGAAAAGGGUUCCAAUACCAACUGUUCCGGUUUCCGUUCGCGCACGGGCGACAGAGAUCCGCCACCGUCGAGACCUAAUUCAAGACAACCUCCUCGAUGACCAGGCUUUCGUCUAGGAGUCCACCUACUCAGACAUAUGGUUCUACGACGAGAAUGGCCGACGCCUCUACUCGUGCUUCGCGCGUGCGCGUGAUCCUGUGUCCGAGUCGUCGCGGCAUCCCAUGGUGAAGGAGGAGGAGCUCGAGGAUGACGCGCUCAAGCAAGCACUCGAGGUCUUCGUGCUGGAGGAGCUCGCACUCUGGCCUGACCUUCCUUGGUGCUCCACAUAUCGACAAUGGAAGCCAUAGUGCGUGCCCUUGUCCCCGCGCUGGAGCCGGGGCCAUGGCCACUAUUAUGGCAAAUGUGGACGUGGACUUCCACGUUUCAAGCGAUGCCAGAGCUGAAAGAGGAACCCGAGGACGAGUAGCUUGAGGCACCAUCUACGCCACCGCACAAGCUAGCGGUAGGGCCACCACAACCACCAACACUAGCGCGACCAUGGUCGCCUCCAACCUUCACUAACAUCGUCGAUGAUGAGGAUGAGUACUCGGUUCCAGCGCCACCGCGCGCAUGUGCUCUGGCGUUUACCCUAGUAGAUCUAGGGUUUAUGUAAUUUCAAGUUUUUAUAUUUUCAUUAAUGGAAUGGAAUUUUGGCAAUAUAUAUAAUAGAAAAAUGCGGUGAGCGUGUUGGUUGCGCUGGUGGUCUGCCUCGCCACUCAAAUGGACAAAAAGCGGACACAUUUUGUGUCCGUUUGGGUCAGUCCGUUGGAGUUGCCCUUACUCGCGCGAUUUGGAUGCAUCCCCUAUUAAGCGAGCCCAAAACGUGUAUCCAAUUAGCUUUUCUUCAAACGCGGUGAUUCUAUGUGGACUUUCUUCUUUGUUUAUAUUAUAAUGGAUCACAUGAUCAUGACAACCAAAAAGAGGCCAAGUACUUACAAAAAAUGGGCCGGGGCACCAGAAGAUGGUGGAAGGGGGAGGUUCACCCUAAGCCUUGGAUCUUACCACAUCAUCAUAGGUUCUCGCGGUGACAUAGUUCCGGUUUGUGAUGGAAGUGUCACUUCGAAGUUAUGUAUUGACCUUUCCCUCACCACAUCACCAUAGGUCCUUGGAAGGUGUAGUAAAAAAUCGAGAGUGUUUUGCAGAUGCCUUCGCGAAGGCUGUGUGAAAAUAGGACCUUGCAUCAUGGCAGAUUGAUGUGUAAGAGAGACCUCUUAACCUUUCCUAGAAGUCUACCUUAGGUGGUGUUGCAUAUGAAAGGGGUGGCUACAUUGGAGGUCCCGCGUCUGCAUCUUGAGUUGUGGGAUGGCAUGCAUGUCGUUAGGCUCUGGGUGCUAGGUAUAGAGCCAUGUUGGUCGUUUGGGUGUUGACGUGUAUCAGGUGUUAGUUUGCUAUAAUGUGGAAGUUGCUGUUUUCUGGUUUUGGUGGCCUUAUUAGUUUUUGACAUGCAUGGCAUGAGCUAUGUCAAUUCCAUUAAGAGAAGAAAACACAAAUAUAUAAACUUGGCACGCUUUAUAAGGGAAACUAGGCUGAAAACCACAACAAUGGCAAAGAAAAAAAACACCAAUUACAAUCCAAGCAGACCACCACCACCUAACACGCCCUCUUUCCGGAGAUAUGAAAUGCAAGUCUUCGAAAACGCUUUCAAGAAAGAAAACGACGCCCGAGAACGUCACUCUCAUCGGCAUCGACCUCCGUCAACCACAAAGCUUUUGCCCAGACCGACGCACUACGAACCCUGGGAAUGGUUCGGCCUAGCAAACAACCUCCAACAUCACUUCCACCCCAACCGGCCACGGCCCAGUGUGAGGAAGUACUCUUCGACAAUGCCCAGGAGCGCCAACAUUUUUGGCAACGACCAUCGUCGACAAACAAGGCUUUAGCCCAGAGCCUUAUGCCUCACCACCUCUGACCUAGGGUAGGGGCCAGGGCACCUAGAAACCUUGUGAGACCAAGCCGCGACUCCGUUCGCAUUAAACAGCGGUGAACCAUACCAAGAGGAAUAGAAGGAUGCAACGACCCCCACAGCUCCAUGGUGGACUUUCUCCAACGACGUUGACACCGCCACCACCAUUGCAACAAUGGCUCCGACAAGCCUAAACGGCGCAGGCGCACCACACACCACUAUGCCAACCUAUGAACUGUAACACGCAGAAGCGCGGUCGCCGGCUUGUCAGUUUUGGUGGCCUUAUGCUGCCAUAGUUUGAGUUGUUUUACCUGGUGUUUUCGUUUUUGUACCUGGACAUUACUAAGUGAACCUGGGACUUGUAUGGUGGUUUCGUUUUUCAACGAAAAAUGAAACCUGAGGCGGAGUUCGUGUUGAUCGGGUUUAAGUGUGAAAAAAGGAAAAGAGUUAUGUUGAAGCAACAACACAAACAUGUCCAAAAUAAAAAAAAAGUGAUACAUGACUUCUAGCGAAAGAAAAAGUGAUACACGAUUUCCUAUGACUUUCGUGUUUCCAUGAUAUUCUACCCUAUGAACCAAAGAAGGCCCAAGUGUGAAAAGAAAAAGGUAUGUUAAAGCAACAACACAAACAUGUCCAAAAGCGAAAGAAAAAGCGAUACGCGAUUCCUCGUGCGUGUGUUCGUAAUUUUGGUGUGAUCGAUCCUCAGGGGUAACCCAAUAGUUGUUGCAUUGCAUAAUUUUGCCUUUGCAAUAUCUUGGGUGUGUGCCUGCUUUAUAUGGGUGAUAGAUAGUGUGGCAUCGUGCUGCCAUCUUUCAAGCUUUGGUUGUCACGUGACGUGGUCAAGGGAAGUUACGCUCUGGGUUCCGGCCACACGUAGAUCCACAGUUCACACCUCACAGCUACCAGGGCUUUUCAAUUUUCCUGGAACAGGAGCCUGCUGGGGGCCAUCCUACCGGAGGCCUUGCUACCCCCGAUUGGGGAAACGAAUUAUUCUGCUCGGUUGCCUGAUGGCUACUGGCCUACUAGCUACACUACACUAGUACUCCUUGGUUCAUUCUACCUUUGGCCAAAGAAAGAGCUCAUCUCUCCCCAGCACACACACGCUUCUCCGUCUCCAAAAACCCUCUCUGCACGGGCACGCCAUGGACAAUCCUCCAGCCGGCAACGCGGCCAAUCCUCUGGCAGCGGCGGCGGUGGCCAAUCCUCCUCCGGCGGCGGCGGCGGCAGCACCAGCAGCAGCAAACAACGUGCUCGAUCAUCUGGCGGCGGCGGAGGCAGCAGCAGCAAACAACGUGGCCAAUUUUCUGGCGCAGCAAGCAGCAGCGGCUGCAGCGGCGGCGGCAGCGGCGGUAAUGUGAUUCACAAGAUCAUUUCUGCUGCUUCUUCUUUCUUUUUUUCCUUGCAUAAUUUUGCUUCGUUUUCUCUAAGCUAUCGGCAGCAAAUUAGUCAGUCAGCAAACGAACUGACAUGCGUAUAUGGGAGUUGCGACUAUAGGAGUAGUUCGUGACUAUUGCCUUACGGAAUCAUGGUGUUUUGACAUUUGUAAAGGCCACAGGCCAGUUCUAGUUCCGGACGUACGUGUUCUUGCUUCAACUGUGCAGCCAGAUCUAGUAUGUUGGUCGGAUCUACGCCUACACACAGACAUAGAUAUGAUGUCUACGAGCUACUACUUGACUUGUUUGUCCCUCGCUCUCUUCUUGAAAUCUCCUGCUAGAUCAUCAGACCAAGUUUGUUUUUAUUAUUCAGAUGCCACGGAUCAUCUCAUUUUCCGUAGUUUUUCAUCAUCUUAAUCGGUCAGUAAUUAGACAGUUAGAAGGGUCGCAGUUCUAGUGUGUUCUACGACGGCCAAUGACCUGAGAUGUUGAGAUCGAAAAUGUAGUGCUAGCAUCGGCGCUGAAUUGCUGAAACUGACUCGCUGACCUCGACUGCAGGAUGCUGCUGUAGCGGCUGCCGCUGCAGCGCAGGAGCGGCGCCGCAAGGAAGACAAGGAUUGUGCGUGCUUGUGCUGUGUGUACAUCUUGGGCGUGCUGCUCUUCUUUGCAGUGAUGAUUCUGCUGACAUCGAAGCCAUGGAAUCGAGGCUAGAGAGCACGAACGUGCCGUACGUGAUGAUCUCUGGAGCAUCGACUUCCUUGGAACUAAUUAAUGACUUACCAGGUGGUUUUCUCUAGUAGUAGUACUACCAUUGUGUCCGAGAUCAGGUAAUCUGUUGGUGGGAAAGAAGAACUAGUACCGUCUAGAGUGGUGGGUAGAUUUGAUCAUGUAAAAAGCCGAGUAAGAUUUCAGUUUAUGUGACGCCUAGUACUGCAGUCUUUGAGUUUGAGGGUGUGCAAAACUUGAGUGAGAUAUAUAUUAGCGCAACUUCACUGAAGAUCGCGAAAAAUUGGGUCAACUAUUUACAAGUAGUGCAGUGUGGUCGAUCCAGAGGACCACCGUGCUCUACCGGAUCAUUCACACACGGUGCAGCCAGCGUACGCGGAGGCCGUCCGGCCGGCCGGCUGUUGCUCUGCAUAAUUGCGUUGCCAUUUCGGAGUCUGCCCGCUUUUUUAUGAGAGCGCGAGAGUGCUGCCAUUUUCAUGUGCUUUAACUACGUGUGCUUUUUCAACUUACACGGAACCGGAGCCAAGAGAGCGCGUGCACUUCUCCAUCUUCAUCUCUUUGCGUAGGGAUAACAUGCAGAGUCAUCCGGCCGUCCAGGUGAACAAUGUGGGCGCAAAUCUUCGGGGCGGCCAGCCCCACGACGUGGCCAAUCCUCCCGCAGUCCAACCGCGAGGUGGACGCCAACGCUCCGGCCGUCGACACAUAUGACAUAUCCCAUUGCCCCUAGUGGAUUCAAAAUUUCGGUUGUUUACUAAAUGGAUUUGAGGCAGAACUCCUGGUGAAAAUGACGCCAUUUACGGCAGAAAGUUUCACAGAGAGGAACGUCUUUACUCGCUUGCGGGUACCCAGUAGAAUCAUUAGCAGCACUAGGUCCUAAUUCACAAGCCAUAUGUUUCAAGGCUUUUGUGAGGACUAUGGAACAAAAAUAUGUUCAACUCGGUUGGCCAUACCAUAGUAAUGGGGAAAAUUUUGUUUUUGCCACUCUAGAUUUUGCCAAUUUUCCUUAUGCCACUCUAGAUUUUGACAUUUCACUUUUGCCACUCUUAGUUUUUGACAAUUAUCACAAUUGCCAUUCCCGUGGCAAAAGCAAAAUUUUCAGAGUGGCAAUUGUGAUAAUUAUCAAAAGCUAAGAGUGGCAAAAAUGAAAUAAAAUUAUUUUGCUUUUGCCACAAAAUGGCAAUUGUGAUAAUUGUCAAAAACAAAGAGUGGCAAAAGUAAAAUGUCAAAAUCUAGAGUGGCAUAAGAAAAAUUGGCAAAAUCUAGAGUGGCAAAAACAAAAUUUUCCCAUAGUAAUGAACAUGCAAAAUACGCGAGCGAAAUCAUACUCUAGGGUAUCAAAAAGCGUUCAGUAUCAGUAUCAGAUAGAAAUAGAAUACAUGGAAUAGGAAGGACGAUGUGAGUCAUAAACUACUGGCGGUCUUAGGGCAUCCACAGUGGUUGGAGGCAGCAUUGCCUCUAAGCUGGGGUCCACAUUGCUGCCUCUAAAGUUAGUCAAAAAUGCUGCAAUGUAUGGCAUUUGAGUGCAGCCUCUAUAGCGGUCCCACAAAAACAAUAACCAAGUUGAUAUCUGAAUCACUUUUCAGUUGAGAGACUCAACAAAGUUUUUUCCAUGACGGAUAAGAAUUCUAUGAGACCAGGUCUCACGAUUUAGCAGGUGAGACCCAUCCCGAUGNNNNNNNNNNNNNNNNNNNNNNNNNNNNNNNNNNNNNNNNNNNNNNNNNNNNNNNNNNNNNNNNNNNNNNNNNNNNNNNNNNNNNNNNNNNNNNNNNNNNNNNNNNNNNNNNNNNNNNNNNNNNNNNNNNNNNNNNNNNNNNNNNNNNNNNNNNNNNNNNNNNNNNNNNNNNNNNNNNNNNNNNNNNNNNNNNNNNNNNNNNNNNNNNNNNNNNNNNNNNNNNNNNNNNNNNNNNNNNNNNNNNNNNNNNNNNNNNNNNNNNNNNNNNNNNNNNNNNNNNNNNNNNNNNNNNNNNNNNNNNNNNNNGAUGGAUGACACGUGGCAUUCACAAAUCACAAAGCAUCUACCCCACCCCCACCUGAAAUCAGGGCAGAGAGAUUAGAUGCUUUGUGAUUUGUGAAUGCCACAUGUCAUCCAUCAGGGCAGGUCUCACCUGCUUUAUAUGAGACCUGGUCUCAUAUAAUUUUUUUUCCAUGACAUGUAGGGACAGAUGGGUAUUUUAAUUGAAACAAAAGCUUGGAGGCAGCCUCUUAGCUUAGAGGCGAUGCCAAGGAUUUUUUGUUUGAGGCAACCUCAUGCAAUUUGUAUAAAGGCAGUCUCUAAAGGCUUAGAGGCAGCUAUAGAGGCAGCAAAAGUGCACAUUGUGGAUGCUCUUAUGGACAGAUGAACUAGAAUGAGCCACGCCAUAGGAGAAAUCCUAUUUUUCUUUAAGCCCACUCCCCCACCACAAGGACAUCCCUACCAAUGUUACAAUCGUAGCCCUUUUGCUACACAAGCUGGGUCAGUUACUAACUACUUCUAAUGCUCAUAAGAAUAUGAUGCUAUCAUAACUGGAUAGUUGUGUAUUUCUUAAGAAUGAAGGGUCUAGCAUGCAUGGAUAGAAGGAAUGAGCACUGGGGCAUGAUCAAGCAUGAAGAUGAACGCAAGCGCGAUGAGAAAAAGAUGAAUGCCAUUGAUCAGAAUUCGAGUCGAGGCUAACAAGAGAAUCGAUAUGAUGCAGUAUUCAUCUUGGGUCAAUACUGGGAUUGGGUAGACAUUGUCACUUCUGCUUCGGUACACCCUCUUAAAAACAUUGACGGAUGAGAUUACUCCAUACCCUUCAGAGUAAAGGGCAGAUUGGUCUUACUUAAAAGUAUGCCUCCCGCGUCGAUACACUAGACCUCGUAUACGAAUUGCACAGGUGCAAGCGCCUGGGCCGGCCCAUUAAGGCAUGCCCCUCCUCCCACGCCUAUGUAAGCCGCAUAAAAAUAGAGAGAAAAAGUAGACCUCAUCAGGACUCAAACACGAGACCUCCCACUUAAGGUGCACGUUGUUAGCCACUUCACCUCAAUGCUGCUUGUGGUUUUCUACACCACGAAAUAUGUAAGAACACACAACAACAUUCAUAUGUAUGAAAGCAUUACGGAAAAAACUAUAAAUUUUAUUGAAAACAUGCAAACAAUUUUCAAAUAUCAAAUAAUUUUUGAAAUUAUGAUUUUUUUUUAAACACAAACAUUUUCUGAAAUUUGAACAAAAUUUAAAACAUGUACAUUUUUUUAAUAUUUCAUGACAUCUUUCCAAACAUGAACAAUUUUUGAACAUCUUCUAAAACAUGAAUUAUUUUUAAAAUUUGUGGUUUCUGGUUUUUGGUAUCUCAUAUUCCUUCUGUUUUUUCAUUUUCUCUUUCUCUUUCUUUUCCUUUUUGAUUUUAUUUUAUUUUUAAAAUUCGUGAAUUAUUUUGAAAUCAUGAACCUUUUCUUAAAUACGUGCAAUUUUCAAAUAUAUGAACCUUUUCUUAAAUUCACACAUUUUUUUCAAAUCUGUGAUCUUUUUUCCAAAUCCACAAACUUAUCACAAAGCCCAUGAUUUUUUUUCAAAUUGUAAACAUUUUUUUCAAAAUUGAUGAACUUUUUCGAAUUCGCAACCACUUGGGCCGGCCCAACAUGCAUCCAUGUCAGGUUUGAACGAUUUCCGACAACAAGUUGCGACAUUUCCAACCAUUUAUCAGACUCUUUUUAAUUGAUAAAAUUUUAGAAAAAUACAUAAUUUGUC